rnacentral:pre_miRNA from 1 species
AUAGUACUCCCUUCGUUCGAAAUUACUUGUCGCGGAAAUGGAUGUAUUUAGACGUAUUUUAGUUCUAGAUACAUCCAUUUCCGAGACAAGUAAUUCCGAACGGAGGGAGUAGUAA